GAGAAGAUGGCUGAGUGGUUGAAAGCGAUAAUUUGCUAAAUUAUUAUAUUAGUAAUAAAUUUUAAUAUCAUAGGUUCAAAUCCUAUUCUUCUCA
rnacentral:tRNA from 1 species